GCAUGGUAAUGGGUUCACUGGGGGCCCUUCUCUGUGGGCUUUAUAGCAUACCCAAGCCAGUGUAAACUUCAGCCUUGAACGAUUGCCCACCCACCUUCCCAUGGACUAUGAAUACUGAAGGGAGUUGCCCAUUG
ensembl:snoRNA